GACAGAGGAUGCAAGCGUUAUCCGGAAUGAUUGGGCGUAAAGCGUCUGUAGGUGGCUUUUCAAGUCCGCCGUCAAAUCCCAGGGCUCAACCCUGGACAGGCGGUGGAAACUACCAAGCUGGAGUACGGUAGGGGCAGAGGGAAUUUCCGGUGGAGCGGUGAAAUGCAUUGAGAUCGGAAAGAACACCAACGGCGAAGGCAGCCUUCUGGGCCAACACUGACGCUCAUGCACGAAAGCGUGGGGAGCAAACAGG
rnacentral:rRNA from 1 species